rnacentral:rRNA from 1 species
UGGGGAAUAUUGCACAAUGGGCGCAAGCCUGAUGCAGCCAUGCCGCGUGUGUGAAGAAGGCCUUCGGGUUGUAAAGCACUUUCAGCGAGGAGGAAGGUGGGUGAACUUAAUACGUUCAUCAAUUGACGUUACUCGCAGAAGAAGCACCGGCUAACUCCGUGCCAGCAGCCGCGGUAAUACGGAGGGUGCAAGCGUUAAUCGGAAUUACUGGGCGUAAAGCGCACGCAGGCGGUUUGUUAAGUCAGAUGUGAAAUCCCCGGGCUCAACCUGGGAACUGCAUUUGAAACUGGCAAGCUAGAGUCUCGUAGAGGGGGGUAGAAUUCCAGGUGUAGCGGUGAAAUGCGUAGAGAUCUGGAGGAAUACCGGUGGCGAAGGCCGGCCCCCCUGGACGAAGACUGACGCUCAGGU